CCGGGCUGCGGACAGUGUCUGGUGGGUAGUUUGACUGGGGCGGUCUCCUCCCAAAGCGUAACGGAGGAGCACGAAGGUUGGCUAAUCCUGGUCGGACAUCAGGAGGUUAGUGCAAUGGCAUAAGCCAGCUUGACUGCGAGAGUGACGGCUCGAGCAGGUGCGAAAGCAGGUCAUAGUGAUCCGGUGGUUCUGAAUGGAAGGGCCAUCGCUCAACGGAUAAAAGGUACUCCGGGGAUAACAGGCUGAUACCGCCCAAGAGUUCAUAUCGACGGCGGUGUUUGGCACCUCGAUGUCGGCUCAUCACAUCCUGGGGCUGAAGUAGGUCCCAAGGGUACGGCUGUUCGCCGUUUAAAGUGGUACGCGAGCUGGGUUUAGAACGUCGUGAGACAGUUCGGUCCCUAUCUGCCGUGGGCGCUGGAGAAUUGAGGGGGGUUGCUCCUAGUACGAGAGGACCGGAGUGAACGCACCGCUGGUGUCCGGGUUGUCACGCCAGUGGCACUGCCCGGUAGCUAAGUGCGGAAAAGAUAAGUGCUGAAAGCAUCUAAGCACGAAACUUGCCCCGAGAUGAGUUCUCCCUGAGCCUUUAAGGCUCCUGAAGGGACGUUGAAGACGACGACGUUGAUAGGCCGGGUGUGUAAGCGCAGCGAUGCGUUGAGCUUACCGGUACUAAUGACCCGUGAGGCUUAACCUUACAACGCCAGAGGCGUUUUG
rnacentral:rRNA from 1 species